CAUAUCAAUAAGCGGAGGAAAAGAAACCAACCGGGAUUGCCUCAGUAACGGCGAGUGAAGCGGCAAGAGCUCAAAUUUGAAAGCUGGCUCCUUCGGGGUCCGCAUUGUAAUUUGCAGAGGAUGCUUCGGGUGCAGCCCCCGUCUAAGUGCCCUGGAACGGGCCGUCAUAGAGGGUGAGAAUCCCGUAUGGGGCGGGGUGUCUGCGUCCGUGUGAAGCUCCUUCGACGAGUCGAGUUGUUUGGGAAUGCAGCUCUAAAUGGGUGGUAAAUUUCAUCUAAAGCUAAAUACUGGCCGGAGACCGAUAGCGCACAAGUAGAGUGAUCGAAAGAUGAAAAGCACUUUGAAAAGAGAGUUAAACAGCACGUGAAAUUGUUGAAAGGGAAGCGCUUGCAACCAGACUCGCUCGCGGGGUUCAGCCGGGCUUCGGCCCGGUGUACUUCCCCGCGGGCGGGCCAGCGUCGGUUUGGGCGGCCGGUCAAAGGCCUCCGGAAUGUAGCGCCCUUCGGGGCGCCUUAUAGCCGGGGGUGCAAUGCGGCCAGCCUGGACCGAGGAACGCGCUUCGGCACGGACGCUGGCAUAAUGGUUGUAAACGAC
rnacentral:rRNA from 1 species